UAGAUAAGGAGCUAUUGGAAUA
rnacentral:siRNA from 1 species